ensembl:lncRNA
UUCCAAUCUGCUGUGAAUGACCGUAAAAACCAUAGGGCUGGGGGCUGGGCGGACUGUAGUCCUGCAGGCGACAUAAAUAAAACAACUAUGUAAAUAUCACAACCACUACACUGAGUAUACCAAACAUUAGGAACACAUUCCUAAUUUUGAGUUGUAUAUUCAGCAUAGACACACAGGAAGACAAACAUAAACCAUCCACAGAUAAACUGUAUGUGACCCUUGACCCAAUUUAAAUAUGGAAGGAACUGAUGCCUGAGGAAAUUGAGACUGGCGCAAAGGACUGGAUCUAUUUUUACUGACACUCACUUCAGAAUGCGAUAAGAUCAUACAGUUGAAAUAGAUGGAUAACAUAGUACCAUGACAACAGGCUCACAGCAUUGCGCACACACAAACCCUGGAAUAACCCCACCAUAUUGCUUCUACCUUCCAAGCUCACAAAUAACUCUCACUCUACAGCGGUCACCUGGACAUUGCCUCUUGGCGGGUUAGCUGCGGGUGUGUGGUGACCUCUUAGGCCAUUGAUGAUCAUAGUGAGGCUGCAGUUAGGGUAGCGCUUCAUAAACAGGAUGAAACCAGCCAAAGUCACAAACAUGCCAGAAGGGACGCUGAUGGACUUGAGGACCGCUCUCCAUCUAGCAGUCUUAUCUGGAGAAAAAAAAAAGAAUUGGUAGAGCCAUAGAUACAAAGGGUGUGUGAAAUAAAAUAAAUUAAGGGAAAGGGGGGAUACCUAGCCAGUCGCACAUCUGAAUGCAUUCAACCAAAAUGUGACUUCCGCAUUUAACCCAACCCCUCUGAAUCAGAGAGGAAGAGCUCUGCAUCACGUAAAGGGAAAAGCUGUUGCUCACACACAUACACACAAUCACUGUCUCUCACCGACCACAUGGAGAACAGUAGACGACACCAGGUUGCCGUCCUGAUCUCGAAUCUCAUACAUCCCAUCAUGCUUUGCACUCAGCCUGGUGAUGACCACCUCGUUGACAGUCCUAUUUCUCCCCAGAGAGAUGAGGCCCCAGUACCGGGAGUCCUGAUCCACGAUAUGCCCGUCCCUGAUCAGCUGCACGGGGCGGGAGUACCGGGAGUCAAGGGGAACAUUGGAGGGGUUGGACGGGUGAUAAUGAGGAGUGAGAAAGAGAGUAUGAGAAAGAGAGUAUGGG